GAUGAUAAAUAUGUAUCGACUACUGAACCAAAACAACAAACACUAAAUCGGAUCUAAAAUUGUUCUGAACCGAAAUUAAAAAAAUUAUAAAUAUAUACAUAAAUUUGCGGGUCAAGAGGCCCUAAACCAUAACUCCCUCAGUAUAUGCCCCUAGAUAAAAUAAGAGGGCUAUAAAAUUUCGAUAUAAAAUGUAAAUGAUUGUGUACAUUUAUCACUUAUCAUGUCCAAACUAGUUGUAAGAAGAAACUGAUAUAUGACCACCUCAAACCGAUCGGUGCCUAAAGUUAUAUCAAUUCGUUGCUAGCUACGGGUACUCAACUUCCUCUUUCUUCCAACACGAUGUUAAGAAACCGAAGACCCUACUGCUCAGAUUUUGCAGUCCCAUACCCAACGGGUCUUCGUAUGCUCCUCGAACGUAGAAUAUGCAUCCUUAUGCGAAUCGAUUUCCAUAUCCUACGGAACCUCUGCGGCUGAAGCUUUAGCGAUGAUCCAUUGUUGUAGGGUGAACUGCGAUAACUAAUUAAUCUAUAUCGAUUCACAAUAACAAAAGCCAAAUCCCAAGGGAUCUAUCCCCCAAAAAAUUCAGGUACUGUCGAUAGAAUCUUCAAUCCUGUGGUUAUCCAACCGAGUUGAAGCAAACAGAGUAAAUGAACACAAUAAUGAGUUAACCUGAAAACAGAGGCAAGUCAUACAGCUUUCAGGGUUCUGCAUGGAGAAACCACUUUCGCCGUUGAUCAGUGAAGCCAAGUUUGAUUUCGAAUACGCUAUGUAUUUCGGGAUAAUCGCAGAUUCAUCAGGACCCCCUAAAAUACCCAAAUAUCAGGACUCUACUUUGUUUUACUUUCUGAGAUUCAACACCAUUAUUGCACUAGUUUCUCCUGCAAAUGAUCCAACCAUCUUCCAUCAGGCAAAAUCUCCAGACUCCAAUCGAAUCAAAACACAAUCUGGCCCUUCUUGUUCGCUCCGGUCUUCUUGUUGGUAGUGUUGAGCUGGAGUUGAAGGAAUUGAUGAUCAGUCAACAGAUAUUAAGCACUGGCAGUAUAAUCAUAUCAAUCUCCAUUCAACAUCCAGACUUUGAAAAUCAUAAUACGGGUCGAGAAAGUGCAAUUCGUGUGCAAUUACGUGAAUUACUAGUAUUCUCCUGGUACAAUCCAGUCUCAUUUAACCAAGAAUGAGCUUUUACUAAUUCAGUCAUUUCAGGGCUCAAAGUAGCAUUGUCAUUCAUUUGGAAUCUACCAAACACCAAAUGCAGGUAACAAUUGGAACAGUAUAAGCUUCGAACAAGCAUAAUCUGAUCAAUCAUUCAAUUCGAACCGAUCAAGUAAAUGCAGGUAAGAAAAACACUCACCGCCGCUCUUAUCUAAUCUUCUGAGCACCGGAACUCCU
rnacentral:lncRNA from 1 species